UAUAUAUAUAUAUAUAUAAAACGCAAGGCCUUUAUACUUUUUCGUCCUCGCGUAACAUUGUCAUAGCACUCUCGAAUUAAAAUCACCGUAACAUAAUCGAACAAAAUCCGCAAGAUUACGAAAUGACGACGCUCGUCCGGAUGUUAGUCUCUCCUGUCUGUACAUUUAUCUGGCGAUCGUCGGUGACGGGAUACUGCUCGGUGGCGAGACCGCGUUCUCCGGUCCGUGUAGACUCGGCGAGGGUAGGCUAGGUUUACAAACUAUCUGCUCGCAGCUGUUACUGCCACUGUCGGUCCCAUAAGUCACUGAUGACUCGUUAUAAGCAGGCAAAUCGAUCUCGGAUUUGAUCUCGGACUUGAUCUCCAUCGUCGUUGUAUCGGAACUCUGUGCCAUCGCAGUCGUCGUCGGGUUGAACCGGUACUUGCACGAGGACAACAGGUGCCUGCGUAGAUUCCUCGCCUGGCGCAGAGUCGCGCCGCAAAGCGGACAGACACCUGGACAAUCGGAUGCACCGCGCGUCUUCGCGUUUCCAGUCUGAGUCGCCGUUAAAGUGGACAACGACAAAGCGGGUGGAAAACCCAAAGAGCUGUGAAAUUGCGGUAUGUGCAGCGGCGAGAAUUGCAUCGGCAUCAAUGGCUGCAAAUGCGACUCGCCGUCCGAGAUGUGAUCCUGAUGCGUUCCCUGAUGAUUGUCCACGAUGAACGAUUCUUGAAGUCGCGGUGAAUGACUGCCACCCUGAUGGUUGUUCGCGUAGUUUCCAACCAGACAGUGGUUGCCCGCUGUUAACAGACACAAACACAAUGUUACCAUACGGGGCUGAACUGACACGUUGCUUUAGCUUGCUUGCUUUGAAUUUGUUUCUCUCGCUCUCGCUCUCGCUCUCGCUCUCCCUUUCUCCCUCUCUUCCUCUCUCUCUCUUUCGCUCUCUCGUUCUCUCCUUUUCGGUCGAACGAAUUGGAGGACGACCAAUCAGAAUUGCAGUUCAACCCGAUCGAUGGUUGUGCUUGUGUCCGUUUAAUUAAAGCGAAAAACAAGGCCUACAUAUAUGUACAGAGCCUCUCGUAAGCGAUAUUUGGUAUAAUUUUAUAACGAUUAUUACUAAAUAUAAUGCAUCGGACACAAAACACAAAUGAAAUUGUUGUUACACUUUUACUAUCUUACAUUCUGCUUAAUUAUUAUUCUUAUAAUUAUCGAAAUUAACUCAACAAUUACAUAUGACAUAUGAAUGUCUAAUAAUGAAAUUAUGAAAAAAAUACGUCUAAAAUAUAUAGCAUUUAAAAAUAAAACAAGAAUACAAGUAUCUCUAUUAUAUAUCUUGUUACAAAAACUAAUCCAAAAAGAAACAGGAAAUUUACAAAAUCUGUCGCAUAUCUUAUAUCUUGUACUUUGUUUCUCGCUCCGAUAAAAUUAAUAUAUCGGAAUGAAAUAUUUGUAAAUUAUUUUACCUGUAUCAUCAGUCUGAUCUGUAGUGUCAUCAUCCUUGUUUUCAUAAGGCAUUGUUCUGUUAUCAUCCACAAGUCUGCUUUCACCAGUGUCGGUAGUGUUACUGGUGCAGGGCCAUUUUCCAGAGGACGUGGACGACUUCCUCCUCUUUUUCCUCCGCUUCAGUGGAUUAUACGAGUUGAGUGUUGCCUUCGCUAAACCAUCAUUUGGUGUUGGUAUCGCUGAUGCAGGAACUUCUUCUCCACUCUAGUUGGCGGAGUUAAUCCAUGGAUACACAAACAAUGGGCAGCCUGUAGCAAGGAAGGCAACUGCGACGGUUCGACGCUUACCUCUCCCCGAUAUACGAAUUCUAACAAAGACUCCAAAUCAUCUGCCCCAAUCCCUGCUAGCAUAACCACUGGAUGUUUGCAUGGCGUACUCUGUGAAUAAAUUCUAGAGAAAUAAUGACACCACCUUGAGAAGAUCCAACAAGAAUGGACUGGCUGCGCAGAGAACAAUUUUAUGCGCUGGAAAGCUGCGACCACCGGCAGCCAAAGUAACAUCCACCAGAUCGCCGUGUCCUCUCAAUAGCUGCACCGCAGAGACUAGAGAGGAACUGAACUCUCCCCAGGAGAGACUGUAGAGUUGGCUGCUGCUACCCAUGUUGUGUUAACAAGCAAAACUGUAAGAGAAUAUUUUGAUAUAACUACUUCUCAUUGUGCGCACCAUUCUCACAUCGUCACACAGUGAUUCAACAAAACAAUGAUUACUGUUUACACAAAAUCCUGCACAUUCUACCUUAUUGUAGAACAAACCUAGAAACAGCUGAUGAGAUACAAUGUACAAAAUAUAAAAGCACACGUUGCAAAGUGUUCCCCUAAUUAAAUAAUACUUUACAUAGGAAAAACCAAGCGGAAUUUCAGAUUUAUCCCAAGAAUAUGUGUUCCAAGAAGACCAGCACGAAACAAUGCAUGCGCAUACCGAUAUAAUCCGCUAGCUAACGGUAACGAUGCGUGUGUGCUCGUCGUCUCCCCCAUCCCAACGUUCCUUAAUUAGUGCCCCCACCCGAUUAAGCGCGUCGCGGCGUCGUGCCGCGAGUUAACCUAACAAAACGCAAACUGACUAACCUGUGACAGCGUAGGCCUCCUGUCGCGACGACGACGAUGCUGAUGACGACGAGGAUCGCGAUCGCGGUGAUCUCUUCACCGCGGGUCAGCAGCUACGCGAUACGAAAUCAGGUUGGAGAAAGUCGUACUCGCGCACGGGGUCACCCAACCACAUAUAAGAAAGUCGAGAGUCCCUGAUGAGAUUCGAACAGCACGCAAACUGUCAAACGACGCGAACUGUCAAACAUCCACGGAACAUCGCACGAACGAAAACGUGAUGAUCCUGACGUCGCGGAAU